UACGGAGGAUGCGAGCGUUAUCCGGAUUUAUUGGGUUUAAAGGGUGCGUAGGCGGAAUAUCAAGUCAGCGGUAAAAAUUCGGGGCUCAACCCCGUCGUGCCGUUGAAACUGAUGUUCUUGAGUGGGCGAGAAGUAUGCGGAAUGCGUGGUGUAGCGGUGAAAUGCAUAGAUAUCACGCAGAACCCCGAUUGCGAAGGCAGCCUGCCAAGCCAUGACUGACGCUGAUGCACGAAAGCGUGGGGAUCGAACAGG
rnacentral:rRNA from 1 species